UCAGAUGUGGCUCAGCAGAAGAUAAUCUGCUUUGCAUGCAGAAGGUCUGAGGUUCAAUCCCCAGCAUUUCCAAU
rnacentral:tRNA from 1 species